rnacentral:rRNA from 1 species
GGGUCAGUAGGUUGGUCGUGCCACCGGUACGUACUGGUCUCACUGAUUCCUCCUUCCUGAAGAACCGUAAUGCCAUUAAUUUGGUGUUGCGGGGAAACAGGACUGUCACUUUGAAAAAAUUAUAGUAUUUAAAGCAAGCUAACGCUUGAAUACAUUAGCAUGGAAUAAUGAAAUAGGACGAUCGAUCCUAUUUUGUUGGUUUCUAGGAUUGACGUA